rnacentral:rRNA from 1 species
GACGUAGGGCGCGAGCGUUGUCCGGAAUCAUUGGGCGUAAAGAGCGCGUAGGCGGCCAGAUAAGUCCGGUGUGAAAGUCAAAGGCUCAACCUUUGAAUGCCGCUGGAAACUGUCUGGCUAGAGUCCGGGAGGGGCGAGUGGAAUUCCUGGUGUAGCGGUGAAAUGCGUAGAGAUGUGGAGGAACACCGAUGGGCGAAGGCAGCCCCCUGGGUCAAGAUUGACGCUCAUGC